rnacentral:rRNA from 1 species
AUUGAACGCUGGCGGCAGGCCUAACACAUGCAAGUCGAACGAGUGGCGGACGGGUGAGUAAUGUCUGGGAAACUGCCUGAUGGAGGGGGAUAACUACUGGCAACGGUAGCUAAUACCGCAUACCAUCAGAUGUGCCCAGAUGGGAUUAGCUUGUUGGGGGGGUAACGGCUCACCAAGGCGACGAUCCCUAGCUGGUCUGAGAGGAGGACCAGCCACACUGUAACUGCGACACGUUCCAGACUCCUACGGUAGGCAGACGUGGUGAAGAUUGCACAAUGGGCGCAAGCCUGAGGCAGCCAUGCCGCGUGUAUGAAGAAGGCCUUCGGGUUGUAAAGUACUUUCAGCGGGGAGGCGGUACCCGCAGAAGAAGCACCUGCUAACACCGUGCCAGCCGCCGCGGUAAUAC